UAAGCUUUGUUGCUCUCUCUGAUUAUAGGGCAUUGGCAUUUGUGCUUGUGCUGCAUCAACUGGUUUUCCAGUUGGUUAAAAACUUUGAUUAGAAUCAUUAGAUUUUUGACAUAACCCACUGCUGGGACAUAAGUUCAAUGAUGUUAUUUUCUAUAACCAGGUCAAAUAGAACAGGUCCUCUGUUAUCCUUGAUUGAAAACAUGAACUUUUUCCAAAAGGUUUUGCUUUUGAUAUAUGUUUGUCUUUGGUUUUGAAAAAAAGGUUCUGUUCAUGGGAAUAAUUUGUUAACAGUUUCCAAUAUGCUAAUUGUGAGAUUUUUCUUAUGUCUUUUUUUAUUUUUUUGAGAAUGCAGGUUCAAAUGCGGCAUACAAUGCAGGUUCACUUUAUUUUUCAGAGUUUUGGCCUUGGAUGGAUUGUUGGGUCAUGGCCAUUAUUUUGGGCCCUAUUCAUCAGUUUUGCAUUGGGAACUGCUUAUUCAAUCAAUGUGCCCCUUUUGAGAUGGAAGAGAUUUGAUUUAGUUGCAGCAAUGUGCAUUCUCGCAGUUCGAGCAGUGAUUGUUCAACUAGCUUUUUUUCUUCACAUGCAGACCCAUGUCUUUAAAAGGCCAGCUGCCUUCUCAAGGCCUCUCAUAUUUGCAACUGCAUUUAUGAGCUUCUUCUCAGUUGUUAU